rnacentral:rRNA from 2 species
GGUUAAGCGACUAAGCGUACACGGUGGAUGCCCUGGCAGUCAGAGGCGAUGAAGGACGUGCUAAUCUGCGAAAAGCGUCGGUAAGGUGAUAUGAACCGUUAUAACCGGCGAUGUCCGAAUGGGGAAACCCAGUGCAAUUCGUUGCACUAUCGUUAACUGAAUACAUAGGUUAACGAGGCGAACCGGGGGAACUGAAACAUCUAAGUACCCCGAGGAAAAGAAAUCAACCGAGAUUCCCCCAGUAGCGGCGAGCGAACGGGGAGCAGCCCAGAGUCUGAAUCAGCUUGUGUGUUAGUGGAACGGUCUGGAAAGUCCGACGGUACAGGGUGAUAGUCCCGUACACCAAAAUGCACAGGCUGUGAACUCGAAGAGUAGGGCGGGACACGUGGUAUCCUGUCUGAAUAUGGGGGGACCAUCCUCCAAGGCUAAAUACUCCUGACUGACCGAUAGUGAACCAGUACCGUGAGGGAAAGGCGAAAAGAACCCCGGCGAGGGGAGUGAAAAAGAACCUGAAACCGUGUACGUACAAGCAGUGGGAGCACCUUCGGGUGUGACUGCGUACCUUUUGUAUAAUGGGUCAGCGACUUAUAUUCUGUAGCAAGGUUAACCGUAUAGGGGAGCCGCAGGGAAACCGAGUCUUAACUGGGCGUUAAGUUGCAGGGUAUAGACCCGAAACCCGGUGAUCUAGCCAUGGGCAGGUUGAAGGUUGGGUAACACUAACUGGAGGACCGAACCGACUAAUGUUGAAAAAUUAGCGGAUGACUUGUGGCUGGGGGUGAAAGGCCAAUCAAACCGGGAGAUAGCUGGUUCUCCCCGAAAGCUAUUUAGGUAGCGCCUCGUGAACUCAUCUUCGGGGGUAGAGCACUGUUUCGGCUAGGGGGUCAUCCCGACUUACCAACCCGAUGCAAACUACGAAUACCGAAGAAUGUUAUCACGGGAGACACACGGCGGGUGCUAACGUCCGUCGUGAAGAGGGAAACAACCCAGACCGCCAGCUAAGGUCCCAAAGUCAUGGUUAAGUGGGAAACGAUGUGGGAAGGCACAGACAGCCAGGAUGUUGGCUUAGAAGCAGCCAUCAUUUAAAGAAAGCGUAAUAGCUCACUGGUCGAGUCGGCCUGCGCGGAAGAUGUAACGGGGCUAAACCAUGCACCGAAGCUGCGGCAGCGACACUAUGUGUUGUUGGGUAGGGGAGCGUUCUGUAAGCCUGCGAAGGUGACCUGUGAGGGUUGCUGGAGGUAUCAGAAGUGCGAAUGCUGACAUAAGUAACGAUAAAGCGGGUGAAAAGCCCGCUCGCCGGAAGACCAAGGGUUCCUGUCCAACGUUAAUCGGGGCAGGGUGAGUCGACCCCUAAGGCGAGGCCGAAAGGCGUAGUCGAUGGGAAACAGGUUAAUAUUCCUGUACUUGGUGUUACUGCGAAGGGGGGACGGAGAAGGCUAUGUUAGCCGGGCGACGGUUGUCCCGGUUUAAGCAUGUAGGCUGGUUAUCCAGGCAAAUCCGGAUAAUCAAGGCUGAGGUGUGAUGACGAGGCACUACGGUGCUGAAGUAACAAAUGCCCUGCUUCCAGGAAAAGCCUCUAAGCAUCAGGUAACAUCAAAUCGUACCCCAAACCGACACAGGUGGUCAGGUAGAGAAUACCAAGGCGCUUGAGAGAACUCGGGUGAAGGAACUAGGCAAAAUGGUGCCGUAACUUCGGGAGAAGGCACGCUGGUGUGUAGGUGAAGUCCCUGCGGAUGGAGCUGAGACCAGUCGAAGAUACCAGCUGGCUGCAACUGUUUAUUAAAAACACAGCACUGUGCAAACACGAAAGUGGACGUAUACGGUGUGACGCCUGCCCGGUGCCGGAAGGUUAAUUGAUGGGGUUAUCCGUAAGGAGAAGCUCUUGAUCGAAGCCCCGGUAAACGGCGGCCGUAACUAUAACGGUCCUAAGGUAGCGAAAUUCCUUGUCGGGUAAGUUCCGACCUGCACGAAUGGCGUAAUGAUGGCCAGGCUGUCUCCACCCGAGACUCAGUGAAAUUGAACUCGCUGUGAAGAUGCAGUGUACCCGCGGCAAGACGGAAAGACCCCGUGAACCUUUACUAUAGCUUGACACUGAACAUUGAGCCUUGAUGUGUAGGAUAGGUGGGAGGCUUUGAAGCGUGGACGCCAGUCUGCGUGGAGCCAACCUUGAAAUACCACCCUUUAAUGUUUGAUGUUCUAACGUUGGCCCCUGACCGGGGUUGCGGACAGUGUCUGGUGGGUAGUUUGACUGGGGCGGUCUCCUCCCAAAGCGUAACGGAGGAGCACGAAGGUUAGCUAAUCCUGGUCGGACAUCAGGAGGUUAGUGCAAUGGCAUAAGCUAGCUUGACUGCGAGCGUGACGGCGCGAGCAGGUGCGAAAGCAGGUCAUAGUGAUCCGGUGGUUCUGAAUGGAAGGGCCAUCGCUCAACGGAUAAAAGGUACUCCGGGGAUAACAGGCUGAUACCGCCCAAGAGUUCAUAUCGACGGCGGUGUUUGGCACCUCGAUGUCGGCUCAUCACAUCCUGGGGCUGAAGUAGGUCCCAAGGGUAUGGCUGUUCGCCAUUUAAAGUGGUACGCGAGCUGGGUUUAGAACGUCGUGAGACAGUUCGGUCCCUAUCUGCCGUGGGCGCUGGAGAAUUGAGGGGGGCUGCUCCUAGUACGAGAGGACCGGAGUGGACGCAUCACUGGUGUUCGGGUUGUCAUGCCAAUGGCACUGCCCGGUAGCUAAAUGCGGAAGAGAUAAGUGCUGAAAGCAUCUAAGCACGAAACUUGCCCCGAGAUGAGUUCUCCCUGAGACUUUAAGUCUCCUGAAGGAACGUU